rnacentral:rRNA from 1 species
UACGGAGGGGGCGAGCGUUAUUCGGAAUUAUUGGGCGUAAAGGGCGCGUAGGCGGCUGUACAAGUCAAAGGUGAAAUCCCUCGGCUCAACUGAGGAACUGCCUUUGAAACUGUACGGCUUGAGGCCGGGAGGGGGUAGCGGAAUUCCCAGUGUAGCGGUGAAAUGCGUAGAUAUGCGGAGGAACACCGAUGGCGAAGGCAAUCCCCUGGACCUGUACUGACGCUCAUGCACGAAAGCGUGGGGGAGCAAACAGG